GAUGAAGAACGUAGCGAAAUGCGAUAAGUAAUGUGAAUUGCAGAAUUCAGUGAAUCAUCGAGUCUUUGAACGCACAUUGCGCCCCCUGGUAUUCCGGGGGGCAUGCCUGUCCGAGCGUCAUUGCCGCCCUCAAGCACGGCUUGUGUGUUGGGCCCCCGCCCCCCGGCUUCGGGGGGCGGGCCCGAAAGGCAGCGGCGGCACCGCGUCCGGUCCUCGAGCGUAUGGGGCUUCGUCACCCGCUCUGUAGGCCCGGCCGGCGCCCGCCGGCGACCUCAAUCAAUCUUUCCAGGUUGACCUCGGAUCAGGUAGGGAUACCCGCUGAACUUAAGCAUAUCAAUAAGCGGAGGA
rnacentral:misc_RNA from 1 species